GGCUGGUGCAAGGCACAGUUGAGUUUUCAUAUUUCUCUCCGGCUUCUGGAAAAUGGAAGAAGAGAAGUGAGGAAAGGAUCCUUAUCUCCUCUGCCUGCUUCCUUGGAUCCUUGUUUCUCUGUUUCUCUACUGGACAUCACUGGCCAAGGUGCCUCGGAUGGAGGCAGAGUAUGGAAAAAGCUCUGAUGGAGCCAGGUAGACCUAGGUUCAAAUUUGAAGCUCCUCCAGGAAUCCCUGUGUCUUCAUUCAAACCUGCCCUGGCUCAAGUACUGGCAGAUUUGAGGGAAAGUCAAGAGGACAGAUGACAUGAGCCAGAAGGAAAAACACCAAGGCAGGCACGGCAGCAGGAACAAGUGUGCGUCCCCAUCACGAUCCAUAAGCAGGAGGUAGAGAGCACGCUUUUGAAACUCAAAGCUAACCCCAUGACUCACCUCCUCCAACAAGACCAUCCCUCCUAAUCCUUCCGAAGCAGUUCCACCAAGUGGGGACCAAGUAUCCAGAGGAGCCUGUGGAAGCCAUCCUCAUUCCAGCCACCACCACACCCCUUCCUCAAAGUGUGUGCCUGGCCUCAACGCCGAUAGUCACAUGACCCAAGGCUAACCAAUCAGAGACAAGCUGUCUACUUGAACCAGGAAUUGAAGGCUCAACCAAAUACAACUAGAACUGGAACUAUUGGAAAGAGGACAUUGCUUUCUCAUUGAGGAAGCUAAGUCAAGAGACUAUAAGAGAGCUGCUGCUGGCCAUGACAUCUCUGCACAAAAGAGUCUUCCUUGGCGUGGAGUACACAGAGAAAAAGAUUCCUGGCAGUGUCUUUGAGGAAAUACACUGGUUGUGCCCAAAA